UAUAAUCUCAAUCGACUGAAAAGAUUAAACGUCAGUCGCAAGAAGAGACAAGUUAAUCUUCCAAAAUAAUAUUCACCCCAUUACAAAACAUUAAAACCAUUUAGAAACGAGUUGCGCACUAACCUGUAAAUUGGUUCUCCAAAUUUCUUUGCGAUACGCGUCUUCAUGGUGCUCGUAUCGCUUGCCAUAUUUAAUCUUGAAAGCUUCCCAAUCGGCUUCGCUUCCUAGUAGGCUAGCACUGUAAGCCACCGAAAUAAAACACGCGCAAAGCAGCACGAAAGAAUUCAUUGUGAACGCGCAAACUAGGUUUCUCCGAACAGAAAUCGAAAUUGCGAAGCGAUGUAAAAGUUCGUUACAAAAGUUUGUCAAAUGCUUUGCGUACGUGCUCUGAGCUAGCUCAAGGCCAAGUGCGCGUCUUGUGAUAAAACGCCGGGAAAUACGCAAAUGAGUUGUGAUGUUCUCG
rnacentral:lncRNA from 1 species